GUUAUGGUGGUCUAGUGGUUAGAGCGUCCGCCUCGGAGGCGGGAGGUCGUGGGCUCGAUCCCCGGUCGAGUCAUACA